UGGAGCCUCCUGGGAAGGAAACCGGCGCACAACGAGAUGGUUGGGUUUGGAUUGUUGUACUUUUUUUUUUGUUCGUUGCAUUUUUAGGAACAAAAAAAAAAGCCCAACCCUUCACACCGCUUCAUCUGCAUCUCUUACGACCAGCAGCUCGGCCUCAGCGGCUUAGGGGAGACGGAGUCGGCUGUCCGCCUGCACCCCACAACCCGGGGUGCGUGGGAUGGGCACUUGCGCUGGGACCAACGCCAGGGCUGUAGCCAAGGGCUCCAGCCAGAGCACAGUCAAAAUAGUUAACUAUUGCCGCCCCCGCCCUCACCAUCUAUUUCUUUGCAGGCUUUAGGCUGAACACGAGGGACCCAAUUCAAGGUUUCUUUUUAGGAAAAACACCACUGCCCUUUCCUUUGGAGAGAAAGAACUUCAAUACAAUUAGCCGCUAGCCUGACUCAGUAUUCUGACGUCCAGCCCCCUAUAUAGGGACCUUCUCUAAUAGCAAAGGCGUUAAGCACCUUCAAACGAGCAAUUACAAGAUUACAAAGGUGAAAGAAUGGCUUCUCCCAAACUUGCAGCCUUGAGGGGUGUGAACCAAGGACAAAAAUCACAGAAUAUGCCCUGGGGUUGAGUUCACCCCCAUUUGAGAAGUCUGUGCUUUGGAAGUAGAAUUCCUGGGGGAAAGGAUUGGUACUUGGGCCCAGUCACUAAUACCGCUUAGCUCAAUCGCUAUAAAAAGCUCCUCCCCACUCCCUUCUAAGAUAUCCAGUUCCUGACCAUGCUUGGGUCCCAUAAAACCCAGUUUUGUGUGUAUCUCUGUUAAACCCAAUUUUGCCUUUGAAGAAUAUGUUGCCGUCAAAUAUAGUCACAAUUUGAAAGUUGAGAAAUAUGAUUUAUUCAGUGGGAAUUUUUAGGACUUCAAGCCUGGGAGACAGCAUCUCAAGUGACCCUGAGAGAACUGCUGGAGGUUGGGGUGGGGAGGGAGGUCAAGUUAUAUGGAAGUUGGCAACAAGGGGCAGGUAGUCUGAACAUCAAAAGAAUUUUUGUGAAUUAAAGAAAACCAGAUAUACCUCAAGGAAUUUAAUGUGUUCUAUGUACCAGAAGAUGCAAGCGUCUGGGCUCACUGAAAUCAUUCUUUUCAUAUGCAUCUCAGCUAUCUGGGGCCAUAUCCUGUUUUUUCUCAGUGCUCACCAUAGGGAACAGCUGCAGCCUAAUGGCUGCCCUGCAGCAGGUAUUAUUUUCCUUCCUGGUUGCCCUGAAUGGCUGGAAUCACUGAUGACUGUGACAUUCUUGUUUAUUGAUAUGGCAGGAAAUACUCCAUUUCUCAAAAUAGUUCCUAUAUUUAUGGCAUUUUGUCUUCAUAAGAACACUGUGGAAUGGCUAUUGUGAUCUGCAACCUAUAGAUGAGGAAACGGAUGAAGUGAUAUUUCCAAGACAAAAAACAGGCAGAACAGACUCUGAAGUCAGAUUCCAGAGCCAAUAUAAGUGGUGAAGGCAAGAUCAGAGGAAGGCCUGGAAGCAUCAUAAAGAUUUCACAGGGGAGGUGGGAGUCCAACAGAACCUUUAAAGACCACAGGAUUUGAAGAUGAGAAAGAGGAAGAGCAUUAGAGUUUUAGAGAUACCUUCUGAUGGCUGCAUAAUUCCAUUAAUACAUCUAACUGUUGAGUUUAUCAAAGGAAAAAGAACCAGGAGGCAAAAACCAGGAAAAGGAACAAAGAUGAAAGGAAAAAAAAAGAAUCUCAACAACUGAGUAUAGUCAUAACUCUUGACAAGAAAACUUUCCAACCAAGCCAAACUGGCUUAGCGCUGCCCCGAGCUAAGCACAAGUGCACUUAGCGCUGAGGAUCGAAGGUAAAUCAAAGCCUCGCAGCCUUAAAGUAUCUCACGGUCUAUCGCGGCACACCCAAAGCAGCGCAUUAGACUGCAGCUGCAAGCCAACCUCCUGUCCCAUACGUUUGCAGCCACAAGUGGCACGCCAGAGCCUGAAUCAAACAGCAUAGUACAAUGCCCUUUUGUUGAAAAGGAGGACUAUGACUCACCCCAUCAUUUUCUGUGUGCGCAGAAACCACGGCCUACACAGGAGCGACGAGACCAAUCGGUCGGUGCUUUACUGAAGCCCCAGGUUACCUGGAAGCUGUCCCGAAAGCGAGCUCUCCAGGGUGGGCUCCAGAGGGGCUGCACAGAAAACUCACGAUUAAGGUUAACAGGGGUCAGGAGGAGCUCUAUGCAUUCGGAUAUUAAAUUAAUAAGUAACAAGUGCAUUAAAAAUAUGUGACCAAGACCUCUGAUGCAUUAGUAACAAGAUGCUAGCUUAGCUUCCCAACUAGACUUUGUUGGAUUUUUUAAAAACAGAAUUUUAUCUGUUUGUGUUUUUCAAACUAGGCCAAGAGGCCUCCUCCAUUUCUAAAAUACAAAAAUUCUUUCUGUUCCUCUUCUCAAACCAAAUCAGACUCUGGACACACCCAGGAGCUCACUGUGUCUUUUAGUUAACUCUCUGUCGCCUUUCACUUUAGAGAAAGUUCUGCCGGUAACAAAACCUGCUAUACUAGCCAAAAGGGAAAAGGACUUGAAGGAAGAGGAAGAACACAUUUUUAAUAAUUGUUCUCAAAACAUAUGAAGAUAAAAAGUAAAAGAAGUGGAGAAAUAUGCCACUCCAUUCUGGAGUCACUCUGGACAAGUGUUUCUGAGCUAUGGCCUAUAGGUCAGCCAUCAUGGCAUCCAAAGGAGAAUGUAAUUACAAAUGAGGACCUGGGAGAAAUCUCUAAGAUGGUUCCCACAAAGGGUACAGUGGAGAAAAAAAAUCUAUGCAAACGAAGAAAGGCAACACUGGAACCUCAUGAGAGCAGAGAAGAAGAAAAAGGAGGUGACAGUGGGAAUGAAGAUGAGGUGGGAGAGGCGGGGAUGGUGGAGUAAUGUCUUAAUGCCUGGUGAUAAAUGAAAAUGCUGAAUUUCCACAGGUAUGUUAGAAUUGCACACAUCCCAUAGAGAGGUUAAGAUAGCAUUUUCUCAUAUAGUGUUAACAUAAAAUAGUUAAUCCUGAAGAACGAUUAACAUAUUACUUAUUAAAUAAAUAAUAAUAAUACCAUUUAUGUAAUAAAUCAUGAAUAAUAGAUAUUUAUUAGAAACAGAGUCUCCUUUAUACAGUUAUAAAUGAGUUCUAGUUGUUAUUUUAAUAAUAAUCCUUUAGAA